GGGCCGUUAGCUCAGUUGGUCAGAGCAGAGGACUCAUAAUCCUUUGGUCGCAGGUUCAAGUCCUGCACGGCCUACCA
rnacentral:tRNA from 1 species